rnacentral:rRNA from 1 species
UUGGAGGGCAAGUCUGGUGCCAGCAGCCGCGGUAAUUCCAGCUCCAAUAGCGUAUAUUAAAGUUGUUGCAGUUAAAAAGCUCGUAGUUGAAUUUCGGGGUUCUACCGUCGGUCGGGCUACCAAGUCUGUACUGGUGUGUAGAAUUUCUACCUUCUGGGGAACCAUCAUGUUAUUAAUUUAGCGUGGUGGGAAACCAGGACCUUUACCUUGAAAAAAUUAGAGUGUUCAAAGCAGGCUUAUGUCUGAAUACAUUAGCAUGGAAUAAUAGAAUAGGACGGUGGUCCUGUUUUGUUGGUUUCUGAAUCACCGUAAUGAUUAAUAGGGAUAGUUGGGGGCAUUAGUAUUCAAUUGUCAGAGGUGAAAUUCUUGGAUUUAUUGAAGACUAACUUCUGCGAAAGCAUUUGCCAAGGAUGUUUUCAUUAAUCAAGAACGAAAGUUAGGGGAUCGAAGACGAUCAGAUACCGUCGUAGUCUUAACCAUAAACUAUGCCGACUAGGGAUCGGACGAUGCUAAAUUUUAUUGACUCGUUCGGCGCCUUACGGGAAAC